UGCAACUUUUCUACUAAGCAAUGGAGUCCU
rnacentral:piRNA from 1 species